rnacentral:tRNA from 1 species
GGGCGGGUGGCGGAAUUGGUAGACGCACUGGAUUCAAAAUCCAGCGAUGGCGACAUCAUGAGGGUUCAAGUCCCUCCUCGCCUA